rnacentral:snRNA from 1 species
AGACAGGAUCUGCCUGCUGUCACCCCAUUCCCAGGGCUGAUGUGGCUGACUAGGUCGCUGCUCUCUUCCUCCUUUGUGUGCAUCCCUCCCAAACCUGUAUUGUCACUGGUCCUCUGGAAAGGAUGACUUCUCCUGUCUUCAGUCAAGGUUAGAUGAGUAGCUACACUUCCUACUACAACCACCAAACAAGCUUCAAGAGGAGUGGGGGUAAAGCACAACAGAAGCCAGAAUCAUUCAUCUUCCCUGUCCUAGACCGGCUCAGCAAACCACUGAU